rnacentral:rRNA from 1 species
UACGAAGGGGGCUAGCGUUGCUCGGAAUCACUGGGCGUAAAGCGCACGUAGGCGGAUUGUUAAGUCAGGGGUGAAAUCCUGGAGCUCAACUCCAGAACUGCCUUUGAUACUGAAGAUCUUGAGUCCGGGAGAGGUGAGUGGAACUGCGAGUGUAGAGGUGAAAUUCGUAGAUAUUCGCAAGAACACCAGUGGCGAAGGCGGACUCACUGGCCCGGUACUGACGCUGAGGCACGAAAGCGUGGGGAG